rnacentral:misc_RNA from 1 species
GCCGCGCGCCUAGUGCACGCCGCCCCCGCCGGCCCUUGGAGGCGGAUGCGCAAUCAUCAAUGUCGAUAAUACGGUUCUUCUUUCAGUGGAUGCUUUGCAUAUCGAUCUACAUGGUUGGCAGCAUAGUGAAUGCAGUCAGGGGAUUUCCGACCUUCUAUCCACUCGCAAUGCUGGGUGGUGCCCUUUGGUCGUUAGGGAGUCUUUGUGUUGUGCCAGUUAUCAAGACCAUAGGUCUGAGUUUGGGAUUGCUAAUUUGGGGAACAUGCAACCUGAUUGUUGGCUGGGCAACAGGCAGAUUUGGUAUGUUUGGAAUAAAGAAGGAGAUACCAGACAAUCUAGCUUUGAACUAUACAGGAGUAACCUUUGCACUAGUCGGGGCUAUUCUGUUCAUUUUCAUUAAGAGUGAAGGAGGCGGACCAAUGAGAGUGGCCACAAGGCUGGACAGUGCUACUGAGCCACUAAUUGUGAACCCGGUUGGGGAUCUACCCCAUGACCUUGCACGGGACCGGCCUCUUGCCACGACAUGUGUCGAGCCAGCCGAUCCAGAUGAGACAUCCAUAGACAGAUUGCAACCUUCGACAAAACGUGUCGUAGGAGUGUCACUAUCAGUUAUCUCUGGCUUGUUUUACGGAGUCACGUUUGUUCCAGUAAUCUACAUACAGGACAAUUAUAAAGACUCCAGCCAAAAUGGGCUGGAUUACGUGUUUGCUCACAUGAACGGCGUGCUACUGACAAGCUGCGUCACAUUCAUCGCUUACUGUGCAGUGAUGCGGAAUCGCCCACGCGUCUACCCGCGCGCCAUCUUGCCCGGCCUCGUGUCCGGAGCGAUGCUCGCAUGCGGCGUCACUGGCUGGUUCAUAGCCAAUCAGGUGCUCACCGAGACCAUCAGCUUUCCCAUCAUCACUACGGGGCCGGGAGUCAUAGCAGCAUUGUGGGGAGUAUUCGUCUUCAGAGAAAUACAGGGAAAAAGAAACUAUUUGAUUUUACUUCUAGCAAUGUGUUUUAUUCUGACUGGUGCUCUUCUGUGUGCCUUCUCUCUGUAGUUUUGUAAACACUUUCUUCAUGAAUGUGUGCAAUAUUUCCGGUGCUGUCUGCAUUCUCUGUAGGUACGUACAAUAUCUAUACAGCUGUAUGGCAUUCUACUACUCUAGCUCAGCAUCCAAGUCCUGUAGCAUGUUAUCUUGGUACAGUCUCAUAGUUUCCUGCAAAGGACCCGUUGUAAGAACCAUCAUGAACCGUACUACAACGUAAAGUUGUAAUGUCAAAAGUACAAUAAUAUUGUUUAUGUACUUCUGAUUACAUAAGUGUAGGGUGUCAUACCUUUUGCUCAUGAAGUGUUGUCUUGUGCAAGUGCAUUGUAGAUUCAUGAUAGUUGUAACUAUUUGUUAGAACGUUUCUGACAACGGGCUCCUGUUGUACUGUACUAUUCAUCAAUGGUCAAUUAAACCAAUAAUUUUUUGGUCUAUUUUAUUCCAUCCAUCAAAAGUGAGAUGAGGUAACUUUAGCUAUAUGGUGUGAUACGCCCACAUGUAUAAAGGGAAAAAAGAGAUUUCGAGACAAUUGGGUCUAAUAUUUGAGACGUUUUAGUUUUACAUUCGAAGAUUUGUGUCGCUUGUAUGAUAUGUGCACAUGCCUAUAAUAUAUGCAGUAUUGGUGAAUGAGGGCAAAGAGGUAUAUUUUAAACGUGGACGAGAUUCUUUUCUUAGGUAGCAUAACAACUAACUGGGUUGUUGCAUUUUCAAAGUGUAAACACUUGCCUAACUGUGGAUUAGAACAUAGUAAUAUUCAAAAUCAUAUGCUAUAUAUAGAUAUAUAUUAUUUAUUGAAUGCAAUGGGGAAUUCUAUACAUAGUUUAUAUUUUCCAUAAAUAAAAUCGCUCAGUUAAUACUUUGUAGCAUGCCAAAAUUUCA